AACGAACGCUGGCGGCAUGCCUAACACAUGCAAGUCGAACGAGAUCCUUCGAGGUCUAGUGGCGCACGGGUGCGUAACGCGUGGGAAUCUGCCCUUAGGUUCGGAAUAACAGUUAGAAAUGACUGCUAAUACCGGAUGAUGACGUUAAGUCCAAAGAUUUAUCGCCUGAGGAUGAGCCCGCGUAGGAUUAGCUAGUUGGUGUGGUAAAGGCGCACCAAGGCGACGAUCCUUAGCUGGUCUGAGAGGAUGAUCAGCCACACUGGGACUGAGACACGGCCCAGACUCCUACGGGAAGCAGCAGUGGGGAAUAUUGGACAAUGGGCGCAAGCCUGAUCCAGCAAUGCCGCGUGAGUGAUGAAGGCCUUAGGGUUGUAAAGCUCUUUUACCCGGGAUGAUAAUGACAGUACCGGGAGAAUAAGCCCCGGCUAACUCCGUG
rnacentral:rRNA from 1 species